AACGAACGCUGGCGGCAUGCCUAACACAUGCAAGUCGAACGAGACCUUCGGGUCUAGUGGCGCCUGGGUGCGUAACGCGUGGGAACCUGCCCUUAGGUUCGGCCUAACUCUCCGACUGGGGUGCUAAUACCGGAUCAUGUCUUCGGCCCAAUGAUUUAUUGACCUUGGUUGGGCCCGCGUUGGAUUAGCUCGUUAGUAGGGUAAUAGCCUACCCAGGCGACGAUUCAUAGCUUGGUUGAGAGGCUGGUUAGCCACACUGAGACUGAGACACGGCCCAGAAUCCUACGGGAGGCAGCAGUGCGGGAUGUUGGAAAACGGGCGGAGGGCUGAACCAGCACGGCCGCGAAAGUGAUGAAAGCCUUAAAGUAGAAAAGCUCAUUUACCCGGGAUGAUAAUGACAGUACCGAAAGAAAAAGCUCCGGCUAACUCCGUG
rnacentral:rRNA from 1 species